GACGUAGGGCGCGAGCGUUGUCCGGAUUUAUUGGGCGUAAAGAGCUCGUAGGCGGCUUGUUGCGUCGGCUGUGAAAACCCAUGGCUCAACCGUGGGCUUGCAGCCGAUACGGGCAGGCUGGAGUUCGGUAGGGGAGACUGGAAUUCCUGGUGUAGCGGUGAAAUGCGCAGAUAUCAGGAGGAACACCGGUGGCGAAGGCGGCCCUCUGGACGGUGACUGGCGCUGAGACGCGAAAGCGUGGGAGCAACAGG
rnacentral:rRNA from 1 species